rnacentral:tRNA from 1 species
CCCUGGUUAACUCAGUUGGUAGAGCGCUCCGCUGUAAAUGGAGUGGUUACGGGUUCGAUGCCCGGAAUAGGCG